AACGAACGCUGGCGGCAGGCCUAACACAUGCAAGUCGAGCGAAGCCUUCGGGCUUAGCGGCGGACGGGUGAGUAACGCGUGGGAACGUGCCCUUCUCUGCGGAAUAGCCACUGGAAACGGUGAGUAAUACCGCAUACGCCCUUAGGGGGAAAGAUUUAUCGGAGAAGGAUCGGCCCGCGUUAGAUUAGGUAGUUGGUGGGGUAAUGGCCUACCAAGCCUACGAUCUAUAGCUGGUUUGAGAGGAUGAUCAGCCACACUGGGACUGAGACACGGCCCAGACUCCUACGGGAGGCAGCAGUGAGGAAUCUUGGACAAUGGGGAAACCCUGAUCCAGCCAUGCCGCGUGAACGAUGAAGGCCUUAGGGUUGUAAAGUUCUUUCGCCUGGGAAGAUAAUGACGGUACCAGGUAAAGAAGCCCCGGCUAACUCCGUGCCAGCCGCCGCGGUAAU
rnacentral:rRNA from 1 species